rnacentral:rRNA from 2 species
UAACCGCUGAAAGCAUCUAAGCGGGAAACUUGCCUCAAGAUGAGAUCUCACUGGGAACUUGAUUCCCCUGAAGGGCCGUCGAAGACUACGACGUUGAUAGGCUGGGUGUGUAAGCGUUGUGAGGCGUUGAGCUAACCAGUACUAAUUGCCCGUGAGGCUUGACCAUAUAACACCCAAACA